rnacentral:rRNA from 1 species
UACGGGGGGAGCAAGCGUUGUUCGGAUUUACUGGGCGUAAAGGGCGCGUAGGCGGCCAGCGCAAGUCAGUUGUGAAAUCUCCGGGCUUAACUCGGAAAGGUCAACUGAUACUGCGCGGCUAGAGUGCGGAAGGGGCAACUGGAAUUCUCGGUGUAGCGGUGAAAUGCGUAGAGAUGGGGGAGAACACUCGUGGCGAAGGCGGCCAGCUAGACCAGUUCUGACACUGAGGCGCGACAGCGUGGGGAGCAAACAGG